rnacentral:rRNA from 1 species
AUUGAACGCUGGCGGCAGGCCUAACACAUGCAAGUCGAGCGGAUGAAGGGAGCUUGCUCCUGGAUUCAGCGGCGGACGGGUGAGUAAUGCCUAGGAAUCUGCCUGGUAGUGGGGGAUAACGUCCGGAAACGGGCGCUAAUACCGCAUACGUCCUGAGGGAGAAAGUGGGGGAUCUUCGGACCUCACGCUAUCAGAUGAGCCUAGGUCGGAUUAGCUAGUUGGUGGGGUAAAGGCCUACCAAGGCGACGAUCCGUAACUGGUCUGAGAGGAUGAUCAGUCACACUGGAACUGAGACACGGUCCAGACUCCUACGGGAGGCAGCAGUGGGGAAUCUUGGACAAUGGGCGAAAGCCUGAUCCAGCCAUGCCGCGUGUGUGAAGAAGGUCUUCGGAUUGUAAAGCACUUUUAGUUGGGAGGAAGGGCAGUAAGUUAAUACCUUGCUGUUUUGACGUUACCAACAGAAUAAGCACCGGCUAACUUCGUG